GGAGGAGGAGGAGGAGGAUCAGGAGGAGUCAUAAGUAACGGUUGGUUAGAUGACGGGACCACCCCCAGAUGCCCCCAGGCCCCCAAUGAAGGGAUCCUCUGUCCUCCAGGUAACGGGUUCUCCUCCAUCUCUCCGGAAAUGUCCAUGAGGAGACCGACUAGGCUGGAGGCCCUACCCACUAUAGGUCGACGAAGCAGAAAAAAGAGUAAAGAUGUUUUGCACACACUGGACCUAAUAUAGCAGGGCCAGGAGUAUAACCUCGAGGGCACCAUCUGUGAUAUAUCGGCCCAGUUGGCACCGCCGAGCCAUCUGGACACACCUCACGCCUUCUGUCAACCCGACCAGGAAGGAGACUUAUGUAUGUGACUAUAAGGAAAUAUAGCAGUUAUAUAUUAGUGAAGAGUUAUGGAUUGAUGUAAUGUGGCACGGGAGAGAGGGUCACUCGUCAUGUGGUGAAGGUCACAGUGUUAUUGACCUAAGUUGACCUUGUAUGGGUCAUUAUAGUGAAGAAACUCCGAAAUAUUGGUCAGUCAGGAGAUUCUUUGUGUUUCUUUCAAGAGUGAGGUCAUGAUGCCAGCCCCUGCCCUGGCCUCAGUGGUGGAGUGGAGGCCAUGUAGGUUACGGAACCAAGGUUAUGACUCGCCUUUCAUAUAUUCGAGCACCAAGUAAUGCAGAAAUACCUUUCCACGUACUGAGGGAUUAACCCAAGACUCAUAAGGUUUUCUGACUCGGGGCCCAAAGGCUUGGAAAACUUAAGGUGGGGAACUUAGGGCAGGGUAUUCCCUUUGGCUGAAGCCCCGCCGGGUGGCUUCGGGUCCCGGUGAACUGGACUCUCGCUCACAUAUAGAAAUAUAUUGAUUUGAUUUUCUAUUAAGUGAUGUCGAUAUUAAUAUGUAAUGUAUAGUAUAUAAUUCUAUCUCAUGUAAGUGUCGAAGACUACAGUGCCUAAACCUCUUUCUUAAGGUGAACAAAAAUACAAUACGAAGCUACAAGUUGUUACCUGACCAAGCCAUCCAACUUAACAACGGUAGAUAAGGUCAUGUUUCUCCGCUGGCAGCCUUCAUCAAGUGAUCUGAAUAAUUUACUCCUGGAUUACGAGGUCAAACAUACAUACAUACAUACAUACAUACAUACAUACAUACAUACAUACAUACAUACAUACAUACAUACACAAUUACAGGGGACGUAAGAAAAUGUGUACGUACUGAUGGUCGCCUGGAAAACACACACACACACACACACACACACACACACACACACACACACACACACACACACACACACACACACACACACACACACACACA